CUGAUUAUCUCUUCAUUCAUAAUGAAGAAAUAUCCAAUGAUGGAUUAGAUUCAUAAUCUAAUACAUUUACGCUUCCAUUACGUUACUCUAAUUCUUCCUCAUUCUUUGAGGAAUCUAUCAUUUAGUAUUUCUUAAAUACUUAAGGACUCACUUGACAGUUGCCGUGGUUUUGAUCCUUGGCUUGCACUAAUAUCGUCUUGUACCUUUCUAGGUACAACUCAUAUCAAUGUUUUUCAUACAAUAUGAAAUACAUAAAUCACCUCUCUGCGUAUGCAUAAAGGAUUCUAUUUACGCAUUAUUUCUUUGGGAGUCAAAGGGUACGUUCCCUUUGAGA
rnacentral:lncRNA from 1 species